rnacentral:rRNA from 1 species
CACUGCUAUCGGGGUUCGAUUAAGCCAUGCGAGUCGAGAGGGUUCAGACCCUCGGCGCACUGCUCAGUAACACGUGGAUAACCUACCCUGAGGAGGGGGAUAACCCCGGGAAACUGGGGAUAAUACCUCAUAGGUUUCAGAUGCUGGAAUGCUCUGAAACCGAAAUGCUCCGGCGCCUCAGGAUGGAUCUGCGGCCGAUUAGGUUGUUGUUGGGGUAACGGCCCAACAAGCCCGUCAUCGGUACGGGUUGUGAGAGCAAGAGCCCGGAGAUGGAUUCUGAGACACCAAUCCAGGCCCUACGGGGCGCAGCAGGCGCGAAACCUUUACAAUGCGAGCAAUCGUGAUAAGGGAACCCCGAGUGCCUGAAACCAGGCUGUUCAGGUGUUUAAAAAGCACCUGGAGAAAGGGCCGGGCAAGACCGGUGCCAGCCGCCGCGGUAAUACCGGCGGCUCGAGUGGUGGCCGCUAUUA